ACAUGUGGCGAUGGCUCCGCCGCAACGGGGAGCAAGGCGCCGAUUCAAUCCACCUCCCUCCUCCCUUUCCCUAUCCAAGUCUACUUUCAAUGCACCUCGUUUGUUGUCGUCAAUUCCUCGUCUUUUUAAUCUGCCGCUCGCAAGGACGCGGCUUGCUCUGCCAGCAGGCAUCGAGCUUCUCGUGGUCCCCGGUGAGCAGCCAUGAAGUCCCAUCGCCUCGUACUUCGCCGUUCCGGAGGCCUGAUGCCAUCCGGAAUCCCGAGCAAGCCGAAGCUCGGCCUUAGAGUUCUCGGAAUCUUCUCGGCGUGGCCGAGGCUUGCGUCCUUUGCGCCCGUGAAAGCCAGCUCGGGCGUCGGGGACACCUCCGUCUCGCAUUCGACCAUCGUUCCCGCUUCCGCGGCCGAACCGGGGCAUCGAAGGGAUCCCGUGCUGGGUUCCUUGGAAGUUGAUGACGUGGAAGAGAAGCUCGAAAAGGUGAUAUAUAGGUGCCGAUUCUUCGCGUUCCUCCCGGUGGCUGGUUCUCUGAUGGGUUCCAUAAUCUGUUUUCUCAAGGGUUGCACAUCUGUGAUAGAUUCAUUCGGAGAAUAUUUUUUGAGUGGUGGGAAAGUGAUUCUGAUGUUGGUUGGAGCCAUUGAUGUCUAUCUUAUUGGAACUGUGAUGCUUGUGUUUGGAAUGGGUCUCUACGAGCUCUUCAUCAGUAAUUUUGAUAUAGCAAAAAUGUCCUCCUCUGGAUCAAACCUGCUUGGAUUAUUCAAACUUCUGGAACGACCUAGGUGGCUGGAAAUAAAGUCAGUCAAUGAAUUGAAGACUAAGGUGGGGCACGUCAUAGUGAUGGCUCUAUUGGUUGGGAUGUUUGAAAAUAGCAAGAAGGUCACAAUAUCUUCUCCAGCAGAUUUACUAUGCUUCGCAGCUUCUAUUCUGCUGUCUUCAAGUUGCCUUUAUCUUCUGUCAAAGCUUCAUGCCACCAAAUGAAUUUCAGUACUGAAAGCACCUACUUCAUCUGGAAGACUUGUUUGCCAUAAGUUCCUCCAUCAAAGCAUAUCUCUUCAAUGAAAAAAUCAGAUGCUUCAGUGGUACUCACCAUUUUGGAUCCAUUCACAAACUCAGGAAAUUGCUUGUCCUCCAAUCCAACUGGCCUCAGCUGGAUGCUCUUCCACUCGGCUGAAGCAGGAACCCUAGAAUGCAAUGCAUGGAUGGCCUCCGGCUGCGCUUCGACGGUGGCGAAAAAUCCAUUCCCCAGAAAGCUCCUCAAGGAUAUACAUGGUAGAUACUUGAUGCAGUGGCAGGCACCCACCAACCCGGGACAUAGCCCCAGUAUCGGCCAUGGCAUCCCUCAUAAGAUCUGAAUCUGAUAUUAUUCUGUUCUGGUUAAAAUGUUGCAUGAACCGGUGUGCUCCUGUUGUACGCGCAUGUGAUGUAUUGCCAUAGAGUCUAACUUGUUUCCUAUCAUAAAGCUUCAUGCAGAUCUCCUUCUUGUCA